AGUUAUGGGAUACACCAAGUUCAGUUUUGUCGAAUUUCAUGGAAAAAAGAUUUUGUAUACUGAUUGAAUGAAUUGAUAGCAUCACUGGGCUUUGUUUAUCUCAUAAU
rnacentral:pre_miRNA from 1 species